rnacentral:lncRNA from 1 species
AAAAAAAAAUCCAUAAUUACAAUUUUCUGAAGCCAUGGCAGAUUUAUGGUUACUGAGAAAAUAAAAUGCAAAAAUGUUAAUAAAAUGUGUAAGUAGGUCCCUUCCCCAUCUAAGUAAGCUUCCAAUCCUAAUACUCACAGUGCCCUCAUUACCUUCCUGCAAGCACAAUUUACCUGAAUCCUCAUGUAAAUCAAAGAAUGAUCAAGAUAUAUCAUUUUUUCAUCAAUGACAAUAACCAUAGCUUGUAAUAACCACUUCAUGUAUUGAAAACUAACUACUAUCAUCCCUGUAAACGUUGUUCCUAUCAACAAUGAAAAUGAAUCAGAAGUUGCUAACUGUAUUCAAAGACACAAAAAGAUAAUAAAAAUAACAUUAUUGUAGUGAUCUUAUAGACGAUCAAAUAAACCUUGAAAUAUUAAGGAAAUCACUGAACAUAACAAGGCUCCAUCGAUAACCAUUAGUCUUUGCAAGAUGGCUAAAGCUCUAAAUGUCACACAAUCAUGAAACAAAUUAUGCCACCAUUUCAACAUCUCUGGACUUUUCAAAGUGGUUAUAACCGUGAGUUGCUGGAAAGUCUACCAAGACUCAUACUAAUCCUAGCGCAGUGGAUACUAAACAAUAAACCACCCCAUAAAAGAUCACAAUAUACAUCAAGAAAGAAAAUAAUAAUCAUAAUCACAUUUACACGAUGAUGAUCUCAACUUUAGCAUCUAACCAUCAUGGAGAAGAAUGAAUAGAAGCAUACAUCAAAUAAGUUUUUGAAAAAUGUAAAACUCCUUUAUGAUAAAAUGUCUAAAGUUUCAUAUGUUUUGUUGACUUAAUAAACAAAACAAUAGACAUAAUAUUUUAAGUGAAAGUAGUUUGCUUAAGAUAAAACAGGGAACAAACAUAUUGAUAUUCCCUUUCACUAAAAGCUUUAAAAUUUCCAAACAUUGGCCCAAAGAAACCAAAUGCUAAGCUACAAAGAGUACUACUCACAAUAAUUGCUAUAGCCAGAAAGCUGAAACUGGUGUAAACAUCAUGUUUGCAACCACUUUCAUCACCGGUCCGAACAGUUAGCAUUCUCUCUUUAUGGCUAGUUUAUAUAAUUUAUGAUCUGUUUCAAGAGCAUUGAGAUAUUAGGAAGAGUUGCAUUAGUCAUUUCCUUAAGGGAACAAACCACUUGAAUUCUUUUGUCUUUGGUAAAAAGAUUCUCCGCUUCUAAACAUAUUUGAUAUCCAUUGAAUUCCAAAACCUUAAAUCAUAAAACCAAAAUAAAAGGACCAGAUUAGUUCUAAAUUUAAAAGAAGAUAUCAAAAGGUACAAAUGCAUUACAACUUUUUCAUAAAUAUGACAAAAUGUUCACCAAUUAGGGUUUCAUAUGAAUUUAAAAAGUGAAAGACAAUUUGUUGUCAAAUGUAAGAGAAAAGAUCAUCACAUUAAAUAACAAUUUCAUUCACAUGGACGUGUUUAUAAUGGUUGAGAAGCAUCAUUUAUGGUUCAAUUCACUUUGUCACAUGCCCUGCAAAAACAAACAUCAUGGUUAAAAUGUACCAUAUGUAUAACAACGUAGUUUGUUACAAACAAACAAAUAUUAAAACUUUCAUGUUUCUACUUUACUACCUGCUCACAAAAAAAAAGUAAAAAAAUAAAUAUGUUCUCUUACAAACACAAAGAAUAGCAACCUAAGUUUUUAUCAUAAAAAAGUUUACUGCUUUUACUUUGCUACCAGAUCACACAUAAUUUUUUUUGUUUUUGCUUUGCUGUCAUGUUCCUCACAAACCCCUAAAAAAUUGGUUCUACUUUGUCGUUAGAUCACACUAAAAAGAAAAUUUGAAUAAGAAGAAGUUGUCAACUUGACUAUCAUAACUGCAAUCUCCUAAGGCUUUUUCUGGUAAUUUGAUAUUUUGAAGAAAACCGUACAAAUGGUGAUUGAGGAAUAUCGCCAGGAAAAAGAAUUUACAAAACUUCAAAUACUAAUUAUAAGAAUCAAGAUCCCAUCCAAACCCACAAUUUCCUAAGAAGAUCAAUUUCUUAAUCGCAAUCAAGAUUAAUACAUAAAUAUAAAUUGCUUUAUAAGCGGAAUACCUGAUUCCCUAAACUUUAAAAAAGAAAAAAAAAUUGUGUGUGCAUUUCAUCGAACACUUUACGUGUAUACAAAGUUAAAUACUUAUUAAAAGAAUCAAUCAUCAAUCAUAUACUAAUAAACUACAGUGGUAUUAGGAUUUAAUAGACAAAUAAGAUUGAAUAAUAAGGCAAUACAUAUUGAUCAAUUUAACAAUGAAUUGCUGCAAAAGAAUCCAAAUUAGAAUCAUCGACAUCAAACCUUUUAUGUUAUAGAUUAAUCCAUUAUUACCUAUUAAUCAAUUUUGGUUACUGUGGGUUGCAAAAUAUGCUCGUAUUGGCACCUUUUUCAUGAACCAUUCAAGGAGUUUGAUUAUUCAAGAAAUCAAGCACAAAGAUAAAAAUAACUUACAAAUCCAUUAUAAAACUGAAAGAUUGAAAAAUAACUUUUCAAAAGAAAAUUCACAAAAGAAGCAUCUAAAAGCAGAAGCCAUUUCAGACAUAUCAGCAAUUAAUGUUCAUCUUCAGUAAACAUAAACAAAAGAUUUCAUACAUAUAAUAGAGAGUAAUAACUAAUUUUCAAAACCUCAACUUUGAAAACAACGAAAUAGAAGAAUGAGCCCCACUCAUCCAUCCCCAAACAUACGUAUUAAAUGUGAAAUCAAAUAAAUCUAAGCUAGAAACGCUACCUAUCGUUAGAGCUUAAAAUUCAAGAUUGGAUAUUGUAGUCUUUGUCUCGUCCCUUUGAAGCUGCUUGUAAGGGCUAUAAAAGUGAAGCAUACAAACUCUUAUUUUGAAAGAUGGAAUGACAUUAAGCAAAAGGUGUCUUGGGUUAAGAAAAAAGGGAAAAGAAUAAGAUCACCCGGUGACUGCAAAAAUCAUCAAAAAUCCAUGGUCACUGGAGAGCAAUCACUAUCAACAUAAAAUAUAUGAAAAUGAAGAGUAUUUUACCCAAACAUACUGAUGGAUCUAAGAAUAAAGAUGAUAACAGCUCAUAGAAACAUCCAGCAACCAGUCCAUCAUGCGGUUCUUCCCAAACACUCUCCAUCUUCAAUUAUCGCUUCAAAUCUAUAUCAUAACCCUGGAUAUAUAAAAAAAGGGCGAGAUUUAGGUUAGAUAAUUAGGUAUUCCAAAACUAUAUCUCAUUAAUAAAUUUAAACCAUAUCAGAAACAACUACGAUCAAUAAAGGGUGGAUGGAAACUAUCAGAAUCGAUCCUGCCAGUUUGAACAUCCUUUCCGCACAUAGGCGGUGGAAUUACGCAACAAAGAUGUUGAGAAUUGGUAGUUGAAGAAAUCGUCAAAUGAGGAGAGAGAGAGAGAGAGAGAGAGAGAGAGAGAGAGAUUAACAUUGAAUAAGAAGAAGAAGAAGCGAUCCUUUAGGGUUGAAAUUUGAAAACCAAAUCACUUUUAUGGGAUUACAUCCCUUAUUUCUGGAAAUUAGAGGCUGAUUUAUAGCAUUAAAAGUUGGAAACUCUUAAUUGUUUCCGAUGCCAGAGCGAGAACGAACGCAAAUAGGGAUAUUAAGAGGUAGAAAGGGUGUUUUUGGAACUUCACAUAGAAACUUUGAGCGGGAAAAUUCAC